ACGGAAGGCAGCAGUGGGGAAUAUUGGGCAAUGGGCGCAAGCCUGACCCAGCAAUGCCGCGUGAAGGAAGAAGGCUUUCGGGUUGUAAACUUCUUUUAAGUGGGACGAUAAUGACGGUACCACUUGAAUAAGCUCCGGCUAACUACGUGCCAGCAGCCGCGGUAAUACGUAGGGGGCAAGCGUUAUCCGGAUUUACUGGGUGUAAAGGGAGCGUAGACGGCAUGGCAAGUCUGAUGUGAAAGGUGGGGGCUCAACCCCCAAACUGCAUUGGAAACUGUCAGGCUAGAGUGCAGGAGGGGUAAGUGGAAUUCCUAGUGUAGCGGUGAAAUGCGUAGAUAUUAGGAGGAACACCGGUGGCGAAGGCGGCUUACUGGACUGUAACUGACGUUGAGGCUCGAAAGCGUGGGGAGCAAACAGGAUUAGAUACCCUGGUA
rnacentral:rRNA from 1 species